AGCUGAUAUUUAGUUUUCAUUUCUCUAAAAACUUAUUGUCAAUUACAAAUUCUCAUAUAAAUUAAUCAAAAAUACAAUUUGUCCAUAAAUGGACCUCAAACAACAACAAAAAUUUCGCAAAUUACACAAGCUAAUUUUCUUAAUAUAUCAUUUGAAAUUAAAUUUAAACACACAAAUUAAAGGAUUUUAUGACUCAAAAUUAGGGGUGGGUUGGGAGGCCCGCUCAAGCGAGUUCUGCAAAGUAAGCAGCGUCAACGCUCGGCCAGCCUAUAACCCCUCCAUAAAUUCUUGCACCAUUUCUUUGAGUAAUCGGUGCUGCGGUCAGCUCUCACCGCCCGCUUUGUUUUCCUUACUCAUUAGUUUAAGGCAGUUUUUAAAAGUACACCCCUUCAAUACUUAUGAUCUAUUCUUUCACUAGGAUAUUCACGAUUUUUCGAUGUGGGAUGUUCAUCGCAGAAUUCCCUCGAAAUCCACAUUUGAUUUGAUUCUCUUUCUGUCACUUCUUCGUUUCGUUGCGUUGUUAAUGAUAAUAGAGGGAAGAGUCUAUGCAGAUUUUCCGGUGAAAUUAGCAUCAGCGAUAUUGAUUCUUAUGGUAAACCUCAAUUAGGGUUAAGGAGAAGGGUGUACAAGAUGGCACGCCAAAAGGGUAUAUUUGGGGGGGAAAUGCCCGGCGGGUGAUGAUGCACCUCUCCAUUGCUGCUUAUGAGGAUUUGCGUAUGAACUUUGCUAUUUUUUGAGAAGGUUAGCAGUUAACUUGAAAUAUUUUCACUGAUUGAGCCUCAUCAGUGUCUAAUAUCUGUUUCUUUGGUUUCUUUUUUCACUUAAUGAACAUAUAUUUUGCUGUGUAGAGAUGCAUUAGUAUUACUUCCUCAUUUUCACGGCUUAAAAACUGUUCGUUUUCUUUUCUUUUAAAGAUUCGUGCAAGACAUCCUCUUCAGGGGGCUGCAAUUUACACUCUUUCUACCAUUAGUAAUGGAACAAAAUCGAGCCUAUAUUUCUUACAGAAAACAAGCAAAAGUAUCACAAGCACUAAAUAAUGAGAGUUGGGGCAGGACAUCCGUUAUUUAGCAUAAUUACAGGGAUUCUAAUUUCCUUAUAAACCGUAUUGUCCUAGAUUAAUAUUUUCCAUAUAUAGCAGAUUAUGAAUGCAAUAUAUUCACCAAUGUAACGUUUGCUCUAUAAAUGAAAAUUGCUUCAUUCCAUAUGAAAAUUAACAUGGUAUCAGAGCAAGGUUAGGUUUCAAAUCCAUACCUCUGCAUCUGCCAUGGCCGAAUCAAUUUCUGCCCCUGUCUUCGAUACCAACAAAUCCCUUACAUAUGCUUCUUCUCCAUACUAUCUGCAAGCAUCAGACCAACCAAACCAAAUCCUUGUCGACACACCUCUUAACGGUGACAACUACCUGGCUUGGCGUCGAGCAAUCACUCGUGCCUUGAAUGCCAAGAACAAAUUAGGCUUUGUCCUCGGCACCAUCAAACGUCUUGCCGAUUACACCGCAGCACAACUCUGGGACUGGUGCUGUGACAUGAUAAUGUCAUGGCUUCUACAUUCAAUUGAUCGAUCACUUACAGGCAGCCUUCUUUACUAUGCCACACCAAACGAUUUGUGGGUCGAGUUAGAAACUCGUUUUCAACAAAGCAACGAUACAAAGAUCUUCCAAUUAAAAAGGGAUUUAGUCAAUUUUCACCAAGAACAACGAUCCAUCACAACAUACUAUGGAAAAUUGAAGGAGUUAUGGAAUGAACUAGCCUCCUUACAGCAAAUGAAUCCAUGUACAUGCGGGGCUUCUAAAUCUCUCGCUGAAAUUCACGAGACCGACAAGGUGUAUCAAUUCCUUAUGGGACUCAACGACAGUUUUCAGCAACUUAGAUCACAAAUUUUGGCUACAGAUCCACUCCCUUCUAUUGGUCACUGCUAUGCUAUCCUUCAUCAAGUGGAAACCCAACGAUUGGUUCAAUUACCCUCACCUCGACCAGACGCCUCAGCCCUAGUUGCUUCCGCUCGCUCGACGCUACCAAAAACCAUAGCUCAUUCUCGACGUUCCUGGCUUGCUGGAACAUGAAUUUGUGAAGCAUGUGAGAAGCCGGGUCACCAACGCAACAAAUGUUUUGAGAUUAUUGGCUACCCGGAAUGGUGGCCGUCCAAGACUAAACGGAGCACAACAGCGCCCCCGCCAUCGGGUAUUCAUCAGGUGUCCGCUACCGCCGCUGCUGCCCCAUCAACCAUGAGUGAAAUCCCCGGCCUCUCCACCGAUCAGUACGCCCAAUUGAUGGAACUCCUCAAAAACCCAACCCACUCCUUCGCAAGUUCUGUCUCCUCUUUUGUUCCUCCUUUUGGUCGUGAAUCAUGUAUAGUGGAUAGUAGUGCCACACACCACAUUACUAAUUUGCCCCUUAAUAAUUGUCAUGAUAAUACUAGUCCACUUUAUGUUUCUCUUCCCACAGGGUCGCAUUCUCUCGUCUCUAGCACGGGUGAUAUUACUUUAUCCCCUUGUAUAUCACUUUCCAAUAUUUUAUCGAUUCCUGAAUUUAAGUUUAAUUUGUUAUCAGUUAGCCAAUUAACAAAAUCACUCAAUUGCGUUGUCUCAUGUUUCCCCACUUUUUGCACAUUCUUGACCUAACUACGAAGAUGCUGAUUGGCACGGGUCAUGAGCGCAACGGAUUGUAUUACUUCAAACUGGCUCCAGCAAUUGCUCUACAAUCAUCCAGUCACAUCUCCUUUGAUACAUGGCAUCAACGUCUAGGUCACCCUCCUUAGACAAUAUUCCAAGUUUUAUUUCUCGUCCUAAAAUUAUUGAACAUUGGGAUGCAUGUAAUCGUGGUUAACACACUCGAUUGCCUUUUCAUUUAGUUGCGAAUAAAAGUUUGAUGCCUUUUGGAUGAAUAUUUUGUGAUAUUUGGGGGGGUUAUCAGACUGCCUCUCUCUCAGGUGCACAUUAUUUCUUAACCAUAGUUGACGAAUACACUCGGGUCACAUGGGUGUAUUUAAUGCGCUUUAAAUCUGAAACCUUUUCUUGUUUACAUGCAUUUUUUGUAAUGAUCAACACUCAAUUCAACCUCAAGAUACGUCACAUACGCACUGAUAAUGGUCAAGAGUUCCUUGCUUGCACCACUCAAUAUUUUUUCUCCGAACAAGGCACUCUUCACGAACGCACUUGUGUGGAGACACCUCAACAGAAUGGCCUAGCUGAACGAAAACAUCGCCAUAUUUUAAAUGUGGCACGAUGUCUACUUUUUCAGGCUCACCUUCUUGUUACCUUUUGGGGAGAAUGUGUGCUCAUUGCUACUUACCUUAUUAACCCGCACUCCUUCAUCUUCCCUAUAUAAUAUUUCUCCUUUCAAACGUCUUUACCAAAAAGCACCUCGUUAUGACCAUUUGCGUGUCUUUGGUUGUCUUUGCUAUACUCACACUACUUUCGUUCAUCGUGACAAGUUUCAACCUCGUGCUCGUCCUUGUGUGUUUUUAGGUUACCCAUCCACUCACAGUGCUUAUCGUGUUUACGAUUUAGAACACAAACGAAUUAUCAUAUCCAGGGACGUCACUUUCCUCGAACAUAUUUUCCCUUUUAAACUUUUACCUCCACCUUCGAGCUCGCCCCUUAUCUUACCCCUUCUUGUUCCUGAAACCCCUGAUCAGCCACCUAUGCCUAGCCCUCCUCCAGAACCCCUCCCUGUCCUUCUUCCCACUCGCCCUCGUCGCACUGUACAACAUCCUGCUCACCUUGCUGACUACGUUUGCCCUACCUUGCCCUCAACCUCAUCCGUUACGACUUGCACCGCUCCAGUCGCAUUUUUAGGUACCACUCAUCCCAUUUCCAAUUUUGUUUUGUAUAAUAAAUUUUCUAUAGAUCAUUUUGCUUUCUUAUUUGCUUUAUCACAGUCCUCUGACGCUACUCAAUACUCUCAAGCCGUUAAACAUUCACAUUGGCGUGAUGCCAUGCAAGCUGAGAUUCGAGCACUUGAAUCUAAUAGCACUUGAGUUCUUACAACUCUUCCCCCUGACAAGAAAGCUAUAGGUUGUAAAUGGAUUUUCAAAACUAAACUUCAUGCUGAUGGUUCCAUUGAGAGGUAUAAGGCUCAAUUGGUGGCCAAGGGUUACACUCGGGUUGAGGGGCUUGAUUAUCAUGACCUUUGAUGCUCGGACUCUUCGAUAUGGUUGGAGUACCCGUGUCGGACACGACAUGACAUGGGUAUGGGAUAUGUGUCGGAUCCUCCAAAUUUAAAUCGGACACUUCGCCCUUUUUUACUUCUUCUUUUUUCUUUUCAUUUUCUUUCCCGUUUUCUAUAAUUGACAACUAAAUCCCAAAAUUAUAUUUUAUUAGUCUUAACAUCUUAUUUAAUACUCAUUUCCUUUUUUGUGAACUAUUGAUUUUGGUCUAUUCAAAAUGACAUCUUGGGUUAAUAAAAAAAAUUGAAGCUUGAAAGACGUACCCACAUAUCCAUGUCCGAAAUUGUCAGAUGGUUUUACUCAAUCUACAAGUGAUCAUUCGCUUUUUACUCGGACUAUUGGUUCCUCUUUCACUGUUGUUCUAGUCUAUGUUGAUGACAUAUUGGUUGCAGGAAAUGAUCUUUCUGCUAUCACUACUCUCAAACAAUCGCUUGAUUCAAAAUCAAGGAUUUGGGCACCAUGAAAUACUUUCUUGGCCUUGAAGUUGCCCGUUCACCGCUUGGUAUUUUUCUUAAUCAGCGAAAGUACACCCUCGAUGUACUUGCAGAUUCUGGUAAUUUGGGUUCACGGCCUGCCUCUUUUCCCACGGAUCAGAAUUUGAAGCUAAAUCUUGACGAUGGGACUCUACUUUCUAAUCCCAGUUCUUAUCGACGGUCGGCAGGUCGACUUUUGUAUCUCACUAUUACCCGCCCAGACAUCUCCUUUUCUGUUCAUAUGUUGAGCCAAUUCAUGCAAAGCCCUCGGGAUUCACAUCAUCAAGCUGCACUACAUGUUCUACGUUAUCUAAAAGGCACUCCAGGUCAUGGACUAUUCUAUUCUGCCCAAUGUGAUCUCAAGCUCUCUGCAUACUCCGACUCUAAUUGGGCCAGUUGCCCUACCACUCGUCGUUCCACGAUUGGUUUUUUUUGUCACUCUUGACACUAGUCCCAUUUCUUCGCGUACAAAGAAACAAACUGUUGUUUCACGCUCCUCUGCCGAAGCUGAAUAUCGUGCUAUGGCAAUGGCUACAUGUGAACUUGUUUGGCUCAAAUCUCUCUUGCGCGAUCUUGUUGUUCUUCAUCCGCAUCAUAUAUUGCUCUAUUGUGAUAAUGAAGCUGCUCUACACAUCACCCGCAAUCCUGUUUUUCACGAGCGUACCAAACACGUUGAAAUCGAUUGCCAUUUUAUGCGUGAGAAGUAUCUCUCUGGGCUCAUUCUACCUACACACAUCCCUUACACGCUUCAACUGGCUCAUAUCUUUACUAAGGCUCUUGGAAAGAAUCUUUUUCACCACUUCACUCGCAAAUUGGGCAUUACAGACCUUCAUACUCCAACUUGAGGGGGAGUAUUAAGCAUAAUUAUAGAGAUUCUAAUUUCCUUAUAAACCGUAUUGUCCUAGAUUAAUAUUUUCCAUAUAUAGCAGAUUAUGAAUGUAAUAUAUUCACCAAUGUAACGUUUGCUCUAUAAAUGAAAAUUGCUUCAUUCCAUAUGAAAAUUAACAUCCGUAGACAAUAGACCAAGGAGCGAAAGCCACUCGGUUGCUUGCUAAAUAGAAGAUAGUAGAAGGCACCUCCCUCGGUAUAUGCUUUAGCGACGUAUUACUAGGAGCUAAUAGCUUAAUAGACAACCUUUCAACAAUUUUAAGAGGCACUCAAUAAAUACACUGUCAACAAGUCAUUAUUCAAAUGUGAGUGCAUGAUUAAUUAUAUAAAUUGCUUCCAUUUGGCCCCCAUUAAAUCUCAUCAAAUUAAAUUAAAUUUUUAUCUCUUCUAUUUUCAACCACACAAUCGUCAAUAAAAUAAUAUAUUUUGUAAAUCGAAAACUUUUCAUUCUUUCACACCCAUCUAUUUUUCCAAAAAAAAAAAAAAAAAAAAAAAACACUAUUCCCCCCAUUAUAAUCAAAAUUAAUAGGGGCCAAACGGUCACUCAAAAUCAUUGUCAUUCUUCUUUUGCCGGAAUCUCAAAUGAAUACUGUGAUGAAUUUUCUAGGAGAUAUUGGAGCCCCUAUCGGAUGAUAUUUUAGACUACUAGCUUUUGAGAAGGUAUGAUUUUAACUGAGUAAUUUUUCCUGAUCUGCAAGUACUUGAGAUUUGCAAAUAGAAUGCUUGCCUUGUAUUAUGCAAUUAUGAUUUUGGAGUCAUGACCUCAUCUACGUGUUUAACUUGGGGAAGAGCACACAAACACA
rnacentral:lncRNA from 1 species